ACCUGGCUGGCUCAGUGGGUAGAGACUGUGACUCUUGAUCUCAUGGUUGUGAGUUCAAGCCCCAUGUUGGGCG
rnacentral:tRNA from 1 species